UACGUAGGGUGCGAGCGUUAAUCGGAAUUACUGGGCGUAAAGCGUGCGUAGGCGGUUCGUUAAGUUCGUUGUGAAAGCCCCGGGCUCAACCUGGGAAUGGCAAUGGAAACUGGCGGGCUUGAGUAUGGCAGAGGGGGGUGGAAUUCCGCGUGUAGCAGUGAAAUGCGUAGAGAUGCGGAGGAACACCGAUGGCGAAGGCAGCCCCCUGGGCCAAUACUGACGCUCAGGCACGAAAGCGUGGGGAGCAAAAGGG
rnacentral:rRNA from 1 species